CUACGGGGCGCUGCAGUGAGGAAUAUUGCGCAAUGGGGGAAACCCUGACGCAGCGACGCCGCGUGGAUGAUGAAGGCCUUCGGGUCGUAAAAUCCUGUCAGAAGGAAAGAAGUGUAUGGUAGCUAAUAUCUGCCAUACUUGACGGUACCUUCAAAGGAAGCACCGGCUAACUCCGUGCCAGCAGCCGCGGUAAUACGGAGGGUGCAAGCGUUGUUCGGAAUUACUGGGCGUAAAGCGCGCGUAGGCGGUUUUAUAAGUCAGAUGUGAAAGUCCACGGCUCAACCAUGGAAGUGCAUUUGAAACUGUAAGACUUGAGUAUUGGAGGGGGUAGUGGAAUUCCCGGUGUAGAGGUGAAAUUCGUAGAUAUCGGGAGGAAUACCGGUGGCGAAGGCAGCUCUCUGGCCUGAUACUGACGCUGAGGUGCGAAAGCGUGGGGAGCAAACAGGAUUAGAUACCCUCGUAGUC
rnacentral:rRNA from 1 species